rnacentral:tRNA from 1 species
GGGGAUUUAGCUCAGCAGCAUAAGCGCCUGCCUUGCAAGCAGGGGAUCGUGAGUUCGAUCUCCGGUACCCA